rnacentral:rRNA from 1 species
UACGUAGGGGGCAAGCGUUGUCCGGAUUUAUUGGGCGUAAAGAGCGUGUAGGCGGCCUGAAAGGUCAGCUGUGAAAACUCGAGGCUCAACCUCGAGACGUCGGUUGAAACCAUCUGGCUAGAGUCCGGAAGAGGAGAGUGGAAUUCCCGGUGUAGCGGUGAAAUGCGUAGAGAUGUGGAGGAACACCAAUGGCGAAGGCAGCCUUCUGGGCCAACACUGACGCUCAUGCACGAAAGCGUGGGGAGCAAACAGG